rnacentral:rRNA from 1 species
GUGGGGAAUUUUGGACAAUGGGCGCAAGCCUGAUCCAGCAAUGCCGCGUGCAGGAAGAAGGCCUUCGGGUUGUAAACUGCUUUUGUACGGAACGAAACGGUCCUGGUUAAUACCCGGGGCUAAUGACGGUACCGUAAGAAUAAGCACCGGCUAACUACGUGCCAGCAGCCGCGGUAAUACGUAGGGUGCAAGCGUUAAUCGGAAUUACUGGGCGUAAAGCGUGCGCAGGCGGUGCUGUAAGACAGGCGUGAAAUCCCCGGGCUUAACCUGGGAAUUGCGCUUGUGACUGCAGUGCUGGAGUGCGGCAGAGGGGGAUGGAAUUCCGCGUGUAGCAGUGAAAUGCGUAGAUAUGCGGAGGAACACCGAUGGCGAAGGCAAUCCCCUGGGCCUGCACUGACGCUCAUGCACGAAAGCGUGGGGAGCAAACAGGAUUAGAUACCCUUGUAGUCC